UCUUCUUCCUCUUCUUCCUCCUCCUCCUUCUUCCUCCUUUUUCUCCUUGUCCCCACUCCUCCUUUUCUCUUUCUCCUUUUCCUACGUUUCCCCUUUUUUUCCUUCAUCCUUCUCCCUUUCCUUUCUCUUUCCUACCUAAAACUUGUGGACUUUUUUUUAACAUAAAAAGAAAAUAGAAACAGUCAAGCAAAUCCAACCCCUUUACGAAUUCUUUAACCAGAGAAGGACAAAGAACAAAUUUGGGGGUCUUUCUGGUAGUUCAAAUGGGUUCUCAAGCUUAGGCAUGGCACAAUUUUGGGGCCUGCUCUAUGCUUCCACGGCCCUGAACUCUGAAGCCGGAAAACUUCCCUGUGGAUGCACUCUGCCAGCAAAGAGAGCUUGCUUGUAAAUACCAGGAUUUUUCGUUUGUUUGUUUCAGAAGGGAGGACAGAAACUGGAGAGAGGAAAGAUUCUUCAGCAUAACCCACUUGUCCCUGACACAAAGGAAGUGUCCCCUCCCAGGUGCCCUCUGGCCCUAUAGGUUCAGUCCAGGCUGGCCUUUCAGAAAAUUGUUUUAGGUUUGAUGUGAACUUGUAGCUGUAAAAUGCUGUCAAAAGUUGGACUAAAUGCCUAGUUUUUAGUAACCUGUACAUUAUGUUGUAAAAAGAACUCCAGUCCCAGUCCCUGGCCCCUCACUUUUUAAAAGGGCAUCAUGGACAAGCCUGUGUAUAUUACUCCACGGUUUGGUAUUUGCAGCACCAGUUGCCCCCUCCCUUUUUUCUGUUGUAACUUAUGUAGAUAUUUGGCUUAAAUAUAGUUCCUAAGAAGCUUCUAAUAAAUUAUACGAAUUUAAAAAGAUGCUUUUUCUGAUUAAAACCCUUUUUCUUUUU
rnacentral:lncRNA from 1 species